CGUAGGCGGGUCGGUUAGUCGGGUGUGAAACCCCGGGGCUCAACCCCGGGUCUGCAUUCGAUACUGCCGAUCUUGAGUACGAGAGAGGAAAGCGGAAUUCCAGGUGUAGCGGUGAAAUGCGUAGAUAUCUGGGAGAACACCGGUGGCGAAGGCGGCUUUCUGGCUCGAUACUGACGCUGAUGCGCGAAGGCUAGGGGAGCAAACA
rnacentral:rRNA from 1 species